UUUUUUUUCUUGUUCCAUUUCUCUUCCAUUUCAAGUGUGAGGCUGAUUGUUCUUGGAUCUCUCUUCCAAUACACCUGUGCGACUGACGGCUCUCUCUCUGACUGGCGGUAAGUCUUUUUUUCUUUUUCUGUUUAUUUUUUUCAUCUUCAAUUCUAAAAGAUUUGAGCUUUCUUCAGGAAAUGGGUAACUUUAAUUUCAUUAAAAGGCACAAUUUUUAUGUCUUUUUAAUAUGUGUUUGUGUUGGAAUCCAUGGUUCUUUUCUGUGUUUUCUCUUUGAUUUUUAUUUGGAGUUUUUUUUUUUGAAUUUGAUAAUUCUAAUUUUUUGAGAAAGGCAAAAUAUUUAUGUGCUUUCUAUGUUAGAAUCAAGAAGAGGUAUAAGCAUUACGAAAAGAAGUUGAUGAGUUGAAGGAGGAACGGAAAGAAGAUCGUAUAAAUUUUAAUAAAUUGCAGAAUCUAGUGGAGAAACUUAUGAGCACACGUCAAUUUGAUCCUUUGAAUGGCGAGGAUGACAGGGAUCGUGAGUUUUAGUUUGUUGUGAUUGUGAUGUUUGAGAUAUUAUAUGUUGGGGUUGGAUGUUUAAACUUAGUAAUAUUUGCACUUGACUAUGAUUGUAAUGUUCUAGACUAGAGUGAAUGGUGCAUGAAUGUUUAACUUGUGUUUGGAUGUUUUAGUUACAAAAUGUUUAUGUUUUUUAUAAUUGUUUGCAUUUUAUGAGUUUGAUUAGUUGAAAUGGUGGAUUGAUUGGUUGGAAUGGUG
rnacentral:lncRNA from 1 species